GGAGUUGUGGCUCAGUGGUAGAGCGCUCACCUAGCACGUGUGAGGCCCUGGGUUGAAUCCUCAGCACCA
rnacentral:tRNA from 1 species